AUGGCUCAGGAUGAACGCUAGCGAUAGGCCUAACACAUGCAAGUCGAGGGCAGCACAUGAAGUAGCAAUACUGAUGGUGGCGACCGGCGCACGGGUGAGUAACGCGUAUGCAACCUACCUACAACAGGGGAAUAACCCGUUGAAAGACGGACUAAUACCCCAUAAUACAGGGAUCCCGCAUGGGAAUAUUUGUUAAAGAUUUAUCGGUUGUAGAUGGGCAUGCGUUCCAUUAGCUAGUUGGUGAGGUAACGGCUCACCAAGGCAACGAUGGAUAGGGGAACUGAGAGGUUUUAUCCCCCACACUGGUACUGAGACACGGACCAGACUCCUACGGGAGGCAGCAGUGAGGAAUAUUGGUCAAUGGACGCAAGUCUGAACCAGCCAACGUCGCGUGAAGGAAGACGGCCCUACGGGUUGUAAACUUCUUUUGUAAGGGAAUAAAGUGAGCCACGUGUGGCUUUUUGCAUGUACCUUACGAAUAAGGAUCGGCUAACUCCGUGCCAGCAGCUGC
rnacentral:rRNA from 1 species